UCGGAGAUGAUUAGAGAGGAGGCAGUGAUCCUCCCGAGCAAAUCAGCAAGUCUUGUAGGCUCAGAUCUGACGCUGACGAUCAGAGGAAGCUGAGAGACAAAGACAUCGGGCUUUUCAAACUGUCAAGGCCUAGUCUACAUUCCAGAGAAGGGAGGCUCGCACAUCUUCCGUUUAGGACUGUCGCCAAAGAGAACCAAAGCUGCAAGCACAAAGAGGCUGUGACGGCGGUUGCUAAAGAUAGUGAAUGUGGCUAAGAUAAACACAGAUUGGCGGG
rnacentral:lncRNA from 1 species